GAUGAACGCUGGCGGCGUGCCUAAUACAUGCAAGUCGAGCGAACAGACGAGGAGCUUGCUCCUCUGACGUUAGCGGCGGACGGGUGAGUAACACGUGGAUAACCUACCUAUAAGACUGGGAUAACUUCGGGAAACCGGAGCUAAUACCGGAUAAUAUAUUGAACCGCAUGGUUCAAUAGUGAAAGACGGUUUUGCUGUCACUUAUAGAUGGAUCCGCGCCGCAUUAGCUAGUUGGUAAGGUAACGGCUUACCAAGGCGACGAUGCGUAGCCGACCUGAGAGGGGGGAUCGCCCCCAGUGGAACUGGAGAACGGCCCCGACCCCUAGGGGAGGCAGAGGUGGGGAAUCUUCCGAAUUGGGGGAAAGCUUGCAGGAGCAACGCGGGGGGGGUGAGGAAGGGCUGCGGUUGGUAAAACCUUUUUAGUGGGGAAAAACAAAUUUGUAAGUAACGAUGCACGUCUGAAGGGGACCUAACAAGAAACCCCGGGUAAAUUCGGG
rnacentral:rRNA from 1 species